GCCCUGAAAAAUAAUACUGAAAAUAGAUGGUUAGAAGGAGACAAGCAGGACAUCUCUGAAAAUUAGCUGAUGAAUUAUAUAUGUACUUUAAAUGAAAAGCAAGUUAUAUAUAAUAGAAAUGUGAAGAUUCAUGUAUGAAUCUUUAUAUGUCCUACUUUAUAUAUGAAAGUGCUCAUUAUCUUUGAUGUUUUUUAAAGUUAGGAUGGGAUAGAAGUAAAAACAAUACAGAAUACAAGAGUUUUUUAAUGCCUAAGAAGUUAAGAUUAUUUUUGUUUAGGUUCAUCAUGUCUAGCAGAUAUACUGGCUAUAAAAUAAGGAUAAAAAUAAGGAAUGAAUCUGAUUUCCUUGUUAUAAGGAACAUCCAUAUGAGUAAUCUCUUUCUACCAAAGCAUGUCAGAACCUUCUUCAGCAAUUUAUAGCACAGAGAUUGACUUGCCCACCUCUCACACAGACCUCAGAGGCCUGACUCACACAUGUCUCUGUUACUCUAAAUCUAAUUUUCUUUAUAUUUUGUCAUGCUGCUUCUCAUUAAAAUAUAUUUUCUAUAAUUUACCUUUCAUUACUUAAAUGCUAUUUAAAAACGAUUCUGAGCAAGGAAAGUGACUGACUGAAAAAUGUUCAGAUAUUGUAUACCUUUUACUUGAUCAUUUCAUGGAUAGGAAUGGAGAGGUUUUGUGGUUUUGUUGUUUGCUGGUUUAAGCACAGUUUUAGCAAGAAUAAUCAAAAUGAAAUGGAUGCAAAGAAUCUGAAGAAAAAAAUUAACUGUUCUAUUUAAACCUUAACACUGGACACUCUAGUAUUUAGAGUGAUUUUAGAGUAACCAUGAAGAUUAGCAUAUAGACUUGUCCCUCCAAAAAAAAAAAAAAAAAACUAACCUGUUAAACUUGAAUGAAAUGUUAUUUUUGUCUAGGCUUACCCUGUAUUCUUGAUAUAUAGGAUACUAUCAUCCUUUCAUUUCCUAUCAAAUGAAAUAAUUCUUUAUGAAAAGAAUUAUAUUUAAAUAUUUUUAUUGUUUUGUUGUCUGAAUCAAAAUUAACCUUGGUAACUAUGAAUAUAUAGAACACAAGAAUAAUUUAUCAACUUUUUCCUUCCUGUUGUCUAUAUUAACAAUGAAUAUAUGAACAAAUUAAUAGAAAUGCAUUUAUUGUGUUUACUCUGUGCCAAAUACUGUGCUAAGUAUUGGGGAUAUAAAUAGAAAACUGAGAAUGAACCCUGUGCUUCAGUGGCUUUUUUAUCAGUAGUUAAGAGCACGUACAGAGUUUACCCUAGGAAUAGAGGAAUACAGUUUCUCAUCUCCAUAUCAUAGAAUCCCUGGUUGGCUUUAUGAUUUAGCUUAAAUAUCAUCUUCUGCAUGAGGCUUUUUGAGGGAGAAAGAAAGAGAAUUUAUCCCAACCAGCUCUAGUGCAUUCUCCUUUAAUCUACUUUGUAUAUAUUAUUUGUUCUUAUAUUUUACAAAAUUUUUAGGACCUCUUGACCAAGCCAUGUAAAUGAUCACCUAGUAUCACUAAAAAGGUAGUUUUAAGUGUAAGCACAAAUGCAAAUUGUACAUUUUUUGAAAAAAUCAUCACAAACUUUUCCAAAGAGAGCUUUGUUGUAAAACUAAUAUGAGUUUAACUUAGAUAGUAGCUACAAUGGACCAGGAGCAAGCUGCUAUCAUUUUGAGAUAAUUUGCUUUUUCAUGCUUUGAUCUUUUACCAAACUGUCUUAUUUUUUAUUUUUAUUCUCUCAUCACUUCUGAAUCAACACACAACUUAAGAAGGAAUUGCUUUUGGUCCCAAAUUGUCAGUUUCUCACUUCUUUUUAAGAGCAUAUACUGAAGAAUAAAGAACAAAAAAUUAUUUAGGUGCCUGAAUACUAGAGCUAGGUAAACAUUAUACUUAAAUGUUUUGGAGACUAAGAAAAUGUUUUAGAACUCUUUGUUUAUGUGUGCGUGUGGGGGAGGGGGGGUGUAUGUGGGUAUGUUAUGUGUUUGUCUUCAUUAGCAUAUGUGUAGGUGGGUACAUGAUUCCAGCAAUGAUCUCUAGCAGGAAUGAAGUGCAUAAAAAGAAAUGGAUACUUUUGCGGUUAGGUUUCAGAAAGAAAUCUUAUGAAAAGAUGUUUGGGAGAAAAAUCUGUGAAGGAAGAAGUUCAAAAUUUGAAGUUUGAGCACAUAAUGUACAAUUGGGAGAAUGAGGGCAACACCAAAAAAGGAUAGACUCAAAAGUUAUUUAGAUUAAGUGAAUUCCCUUUUAAACGCAAACAAGAAUUAGUAUCUUAGUCUCUCACUAAUCUAGAAAUGUUUCCUAAAUGAGGGCAGCCAUGCUGUAUAAUAAAAUUUGCAACUUUCAGGAGUCUCUUUAAGUCCACUAUCACAAUUUAAUUGGCUUUUGCUAUGUAGAAUUUUUUUUCUUCACAAUUUUCCCUUUCAUUUUUUAGUUUUAGGUCCUUAUUCCUUAAGGGAAGGAGUGAAGAUAAUGAUAAGGAAACUAAUCUUCUUUCUCAGUGUCUGCCAGUGUGAAUACCCUUGAUAGUAUUCUUUAAUUUCUGUCUUGAAAAGAUCUUUCAAACUGUUCUGUAGGCCUUCCAGUUAUUUUUUUUUUUUUUUUUGGUGACUUUCUUUUUCAUGUCAUCAUUGCCAUAUGGAGACACAUUGUCACUGUCCUUUUCUGUGAAGUUAUGCUUCUUCAUUCAUAGGCUUUUCUGGGAUAUAAACCAGAAUCACUAUGGGAAAGAAGUUACUAUUUAGGGAUUUUAAUAUAUCUUGAGUAUCUGAGGGAAAAUAGUAUUCACUGAAGGUUAUAGGAGUCAGAUAAAAAUUAUCUUUGGGCUCAGUGGUCCCAUUAGUGAAACAGCCAGCUGUUUAUAACUAUAGUUAGCUCUCCUUUGUGUUAAUUGUCUGUGUAAUUCAAGAUAAAAAUGAUACAAAGGCAUAAACUUUUUUUUUUUUUUUUUGCUGCAAGGUUUUCAUUUCUUUAUUAUGCUUUGUGCACAAUAGAAAAGCAUAUUGUUACAUAAAAUUUCAAGUACUUAUCUCAUAGUUGGGAAUGUAAUGUUAAUGUUUAAGAAAUUGAUUAAUUUAUUUGUACAGGUCAUAAGAGUUAUAAGAAAAGUAUUAGUAUAAGGGGAUUAGAUGAGGCAACCAAAAAAGUCUUGACUUGCUUAUAGCAAUUUGAAACAUUGUUUCAAAUUCAUUUUAUACAGAUAAUUCCCUCCUUUUGCACCUUAAUCCUUAAAUUAAGGGAAAUACAAGUUUCAGACUUUUGACUAUUGGAUUUGUUAUUCUCAUCUGCUUCUGUUAUAUGCUAGCUAAAUAUUAAUGAUACUCAACUGAAUUAUGUACAAAAGAAUAACACUGAAUGUUUGUCCAAAAUCAUACGUGUUACUCUAUUUCACAGGAAUUGUAUGGUUACAACUAAAAUGAAUAAAAAC
rnacentral:lncRNA from 1 species